UACGUAGGGUGCGAGCGUUGUCCGGAAUUAUUGGGCGUAAAGAGCUCGUAGGCGGUUUGUUGCGUCUAUCGUGAAAACCUGCAGCUUAACUGUGGGCUUGCGGUGGAUACGGGCAGACUUGAGUUCGGUAGGGGAGACUGGAAUUCCUGGUGUAGCGGUGAAAUGCGCAGAUAUCAGGAGGAACACCGGUGGCGAAGGCGGGUCUCUGGGCCGAUACUGACGCUGAGGAGCGAAAGCAUGGGUAGCGAACAGG
rnacentral:rRNA from 1 species